AGUCACCAUUUGAAACCUCUAGAAAGACAAAUAUUUAGGAACGGAGGGAGUACAUGAUUAGGAAAACUCAUGUAAAGCUGACUGUUUGGUCCAGGUGGUAUGGUCCUUAAAUCGUAACAGGGGAUCAUAACAGGGUAAAUACCCGGAGAAUAGCUGUGUCAAAAAUCUAUGCAUCACCGAUACGGGGUUAUGGAUAUGAGUAUGGGGACACGUGAUAUGACAUUUAAAAAAACAGUCAUUUGGGGAUACAGCAGGGUAUAUAAGUAUUCAGAAAAUGGAUCUGAAUAUCUAGCGAACGUCAGAUUUUUAGGCAUGGCAAACGAAAGUUUUUCAUGGCAAAUUAUGUUUGCCGAGGAAGGCAAGUUUAGUUGGUGAGCAUGGCAAAUCCGCCUCAGUUCAUUUAUUUGCUAGGAAAUUACCGUGCUUGCAAACUAAAUUUGCCAACCUCGCGCCAAUAUAAAUUGCCAUGUAAAAUGUUUGAUUUACCAUGUCCAAAAUUUUGAUGUCAGAUUUUUAGGAUUUGCGUAGAAAAAUAAACAUCAGGUAAUAAAGAUUUAAUGAUAAUUUUUAGAUUUUUUUUUGAGGGACUGAUAAUUUUUAGAUGGGAGAUUUUUUAGUUAGUGUCGUGGGGAGAGCUGGGCUUGCGGGAAAUGACGGUGGCGUGCCGGCGACCAGAGAAGUUCUAGGUGCUGGCGAAUGGGUCUCUGGAGGCUGACUCUCGAGUCCCCACCACGUCCACAACGUAUCUAAGCCGUAUCCCGAUUUGUUCCCCUUUUUUAAAUUCAAAACACAUGGAAUACUGCAGGAUACGUGUAUUCCAACGUAUCCGCACGUAUCCCCGUACCCCUCCCCCCUUGGGUACUAGGACGCCAAUUCGGCUAAAUCUGACGUAUCAGUGCUUCUUACAUAAAACUAAUAUACUGAAGUUGACGCAGAAUAUAUACCAAUUUCCAUAGUUUAUUUUUUCUUAACAUGCACCAAAUGCGUGUCGUUUUGUAUCAGAAGAAUAAUGCCAAAAGGCACAAAGAUUUACAAGGGUGAACCUGCAAAACCAAAAAGAUCCAAACAGCCUAUGCUAGCCAAUAACCUACUCCCUCCGUCCCAUAAUGUAAGAUGUUUUUUUCCACUACACUAGUGGCAAAAAACGUCUUACAUUAUGGGAUGGAGGGAGUAAAAGUUAGCCACAGCAAACUAUUAAGAAGAAUAAACAGCUACCGCUAAACUACUGCAGGUCAGUGGCAGGCUCCUGAGGGCUUUGUCACCUGGCCCAAUGGUUUUUAAUUGCUUAGUGAACAUAGAGUAGUGUGCUAGCGCACUAUAUUGAUGAGAUUCCAAUGCCUCGUAUACAGGACCAAAUCUUAAUCAUACCCCUAAGCGAUAGAACUAAUCUGUUUUUUUAUAUCUAGUAGAUACAACAACAAAAUGUGCUAAAUAACUGAUACGAAGGAUGUCCUAGGAAGGUGUCUGCUGCUUAGGCUUCAUGUCACCUCCUUAGGCUUGGUCUGUUCCCAAUGGUGGCUACAUUACAGCAAAAACUGUAGUUAGCAGAGAUGGCUGCACAGCCUCAACAUAAGGUGGUUCUGCUUUCAGUCGGCAGCUACGCAUAUGCUCUGGAAUUCUCUUUGUACCUUGUGGUAUUGUUAGGCUAAUUCUGGUAUCAUGAUCUGUCAUCAAUGUGAAACUUCCUUGAUCAUCCUCAUUGUUGUACCUUGUGGUAUUGUUAGGCUAAUUCUGGUAUCAUGAUCUGUCAUCAAUGUGGAACUUCCUUAUCAUCCUCACUGUUGGAGGAUCUGGCGCAUGCUCACCGACUCUGUUGUCAAUUGAGCCCAGGCCUGGCACACUCCAUUUUGAAUAUCAAUAGAGCAGUAAAAAAAUGAUGGCAGAUCGGCAGUUACUGGCAAACUAGUAUUUUGCGUCAUGGCAGUAACUUGGGAGCUGGUGAAGUAGUUUGUUUAGGGGAGUUUUUCUAAAGCUUUGUAAUCCCUUCUCUAGUUAUUUUUCAUCACUUUCCUAGCUGUACACCCUGGAUGUCUGUGGGAGCGUCUCUAAGUGACCGUGACCCUGGUGACUUCCGUUCUGUCAGUUUAAACUGGUGCCCCUGUUGUACCGUUACUUUGCUUACUUUAUAAGGCAGGGCUUUAAGCUUGAUAAAAAAGCCCAGCAAACAUUUCCUGAAAUUCAGUUGGGUUAAUUGAUGUUGUUUUCAACUGCUCCAAGAUAUUGCAUAUGAAUGUUUUCUUCCAGGACCGGCUGCAUAACAAGCAAUGGCAAUAAAAAAACUAGCAAACGACAGGAACACAUCUCAUGAAAUUUGAUUGGUUUGGCAAUGCUCCAUUUUGUAAUGUUGCUCAAUAGGACGUUUUGUAUUUCUUUCUAAUGUUGCUCUGUUUUAAACUUCCUGGUUGUUUUCCUGGUUAUUUUGUAAUGUUUGGUUAAUUGAAUGUUGUUGUGCUAUUCUGGAGAACACUCUAGCUCUGUAAACUUUCUGGUCGUCGUAUCUUUUUGCCAAAGGAUGUUGUUAAUCUCAUGAGAUUUAUGAUUAUUUUGUGUAAAAAAAUUCUGUAUACAAUGUAAUUUAGGAAAAGAUGUAAUCAAUCAUUCAGAACUUCAUUUCCUUCCUUUUUGUAACAUAAUCUUCUACUGCAGUGUUAUGGAGAAACGCUUUGCUUCUCGCAUUUCUGGAGCAUGACAAUGCUUUGCAGGUUUCAUUCAUGUGAUAAUUGGUUAUUUUUAGACGAACACUAGUGUUUUACUUGCGUUUAACAUAUAUGUAACUUCUGAAAGCUAAUAUUUUCUCGGUUCUACUGUUUCGCUGAGACCUUUGUUAUUAAAGAUUUUGUAUGUAGAAAUGAGAUAUCUAAAUGUUCGUGCUAAUGUGGACCCACUCUUUGGCUGAUUCAUGCUGUGGCAAUAUAUUUUCAGAGAAACCCUUAAGAUGCUGGUGAUGACGAUCCGGUUGUCGAGACGAUAGUGAUGAUGUUCUAGUUCUGCUACUACAAUAACAUCGCUGCAACUCUAAGAAUAUUGGUUUACCAAGUCACCUGCCAAGGCAGCAGUUCGGUGAUCGAAGUUUGUUUGCCUGUGAGGUCGCAAGGAGGGGAGGUGCAGAGAAACCCUUGAGAUGCCGGUGAAGAAGAUUCGGUUGCGGAGAUGAUAGUGAUGAUUUUCUAGUCCCGCUCCUGCAAGAAAAACGGGUGCUACUCUUAAGAUUUUAGUUUUAUCAUGUCACCUGCCAAGCCAGCAGUUUGGUGAUCAAAGCCUGUUUGCCUGUUUUGGUCGACAGGAGGGGAGCUGCAGGUUUGUAUAAGGUGAACCCUUGAGAUGUUGGCAAUGGAAGAUCUGGUUGUCGAGGUGAUGGUGAUUAUGUUUUAGUUCUUAUCCGGCAAGAAUAUCAUGGCAGUUCUAAGAUUUUUGGUUAACCAAGUCGCCUGCCAAGCCAACAGUUUGGUGGUCGAAGUCUGUUUGCCUCUGAAGGUCGCCAGGACAGGAGCUGCAGGUUUGUAUAACAUAGUUUCAGUAUAACUGAAUGAGUGAGGUUGUGUUCUGACAUCAAAUUGAAAGGAGGCCUUGUCAACAUGUAAGCUAAAUGUAGACUAUUAUUGUUUUUUUCCUGCACAAUUGGUACUUUAGAGGAUACGGGUUUGAAGGGGCAGCUUCAUUGAACUGUUCUCGUUUGA